AAGGGUGAAGAUUUAUCCAGAAGGUUGAGUGCAAUGUCUUUGCAAGUCUGCCCAGCCACCUCGUUGAACACAGCAGGAGAUGGUGGCCAACAAAUAGAGAGUGCUUGCCAUAUCCUUGAUGCUCGAGCAGAUCACAAGUGUUUCAGUGAUGAAGAAUGUGGAGUCGAUUCAACUACUUGUAGAAGGCGAUCGUGCAGCUCAUCUGGUUAUUGUGGUCGGUGGUUGCACUUAUAACAUAGAUGGUAACUAUUUUCAAUAAGGUUUCAAACUUGGUUCCUCUUUCACCAACCGAUGAAGUUGACCCCAAAACGAACUUUGUAAGAAGUUGCUUU
rnacentral:misc_RNA from 1 species